GAUGAACGCUGGCUGUGUGCCUAAUACAUGCAUGUCGAGCGGAAGUAGCAAUACUUUAGCGGCGAAUGGGUGAGUAACACGUGCUUAAUCUGCCUUUUAGAUUGGAAUACCCAAUGGAAACAUUGGUUAAUGCCGGAUACGCAUGGAGCUGCAUGGCUCCGUUGUGAAAGAAGCGUUUGCUUCGCUAGAAGAUGAGAGUGCGCAACAUUAGCUAGUUGGUGAGGUAAAGGCCCACCAAGGCUAUGAUGUUUAGCCGGGUCGAGAGACUGAACGGCCACAUUGGGACUGAGAUACGGCCCAAACUCCUACGGGAGGCAGCAGUAGGGAAUAUUCCACAAUGGGCGAAAGCCUGAUGGAGCGACACAGCGUGAACGAUGAAGGUCUUCGGAUUGUAAAGUUCUGUUGUAAGGGAAGAACAUGUAAUUGAGGAAAUGCUUUUACACUGACGGUACCUUACUAGAAAGCGAUGGCUAACUAUGUGCCAGCAGCCGCGGUAAUACAUAGGUCGCAAGCGUUAUCCGGAAUUAUUGGGCGUAAAGCGUUCGUAGGCUGUUUAUUAAGUCUGGAGUCAAAUCCCAGGGCUCAACCCUGGCUCGCUUUGGAUACUGGUAAACUAGAGUUAGGUAGAGGUAAGCGGAAUUCCAUGUGGAGCGGUGAAAUGCGUAGAUAUAUGGAAGAACACCAAAGGCGAAGGCAGCUUACUGGGCCUAUACUGACGCUGAGGGACGAAAGCGUGGGGAGCAAACAGGAUUAGAUACCCUGGUAGUCCACGCCGUAAACGAUGAUCAUUAGUUGGUGGAGAAAUCACUAACGCAGCUAACGCAUUAAAUGAUCCGCCUGAGUAGUAUGCUCGCA
rnacentral:rRNA from 1 species